AGCGAACGCUGGCGGCAGGCCUAACACAUGCAAGUCGAACGAACCCUUCGGGGUUAGUGGCGGACGGGUGAGUAACACGUGGGAACGUGCCUUUAGGUUCGGAAUAACUCAGGGAGACUUGUGCUAAUACCGAAUGUGCCCUUCGGGGGAAAGAUUUAUCGCCUUUAGAGCGGCCCGCGUCUGAUUAGCUAGUUGGUGAGGUAAAGGCUCACCAAGGCGACGAUCAGUAGCUGGUCUGAGAGGAUGAUCAGCCACAUUGGGACUGAGACACGGCCCAAACUCCUACGGGAGGCAGCAGUGGGGAAUCUUGCGCAAUGGGCUAAAGCCUGACGCAGCCAUGCCGCGUGAAUGAUGAAGGUCUUAGGAUUGUAAAAUUCUUUCACCGGGGACGAUAAUGACGGUACCCGGAGAAGAAACCCCGGCUAACUUCGUGCCAGCAGCCGCCGUAACAC
rnacentral:rRNA from 1 species